AUGUAGAGGUUAUGUAGAGGUUAGUUAUGUAGAGGUUAGUUAUGUAGAGGUUAUGUAGAGGUUAGUUAUGUAGAGGUUAUGUAGAGGUUAGUUAUGUAGAGGUUAGGUAUGUAGAGGUUAUGUAGAGGUUAGUUAUGUAGAGGUUAUGUAGAGGUUAGUUAUGUAGAGGUUAUGUAGAGGUUAGUUAUGCAGAGGUUAUGUAGAGGUUAUGUAGAGGUUAUGUAGAGGUUAUGUAGAGGUUAGUUAUGUAGAGGUUAUGUAGAGGUUAUGUAGAGGUUAUGUAGAGGUUAGUUAUGUAGAGGUUAUGUAGAGGUUAUGUAGAGGUUAUGUAGAGGUUAGUUAUGUAGAGGUUAUGUAGAGGUUAUGUAGAGGUUAGUUAUGUAGAGGUUAGUUAUGCAGAGGUUAUGUAGAUACAGGUUAUUUAGAUAAAGGUUAGUUAUUAGUCAUA
ensembl:lncRNA